UUAUCGUACUCGUACUCUUUUUCCCAUCUAAUGUUUUUUUAAUUAUUUCAUCGUUGAAUAACACGCUUGCGUGUUAUUUCGCAUUUGUUCCAUCUAUUCAGUCGUAACUUCGCUGUUGGAAGAAAGCAUGGUGGGAAACAUGCUAAUGAAAAAGUUCCACACGCGCCACAAGUGCAUCUAAGAUCAUAAUAAACACCAGAAGAUACAAGUGAAACAAAAAAGUGAAACUUUGUGUGUUUCGCAGAUGGUACAGCGAUAUAAGUGUACUCGAUCAGUGAAUUCGUUGUUGUUAAAAAAAAUAUUAAAUUAUAUAAAUUAUCUUGUCACGGAUCAACAAAAUUUUCCAUUAAAUUAAAAAUACGAUAAGAGGAACGUGUAAUCGUAAAGUGACAACAAUAAUAUCGAACGAUUUUUUCUCUUCAAUUUUUUCACGCGAUGUUGGGUAUGGUUUCUUGGUAAUGUGACAUUCGAUGUAAAAGUGAUCAGUGAAAUAUCGUGGCCGUAUGAUCGUGUCGACAAUAUUCUCGAGCGUGACGAGUUUCCAUCGGCGACACUCGAAUGACGCUGGACGAAAUGCUGAGUUGACGCAGACGACAGUAAAGAAGAUAAAGGAGAAGGGAUACAAAUUUCUGUUCUGUAGAGUUAGGCGAAAGCCGACGGAGUCGCGUGUAAAUCAAAGUCGAGGCCAUUAAAUUCUAAAGUUACGAUAACACGUGAACUUUUUUCCUCGCCUAGCUGUGCAACGUAUCACCAUUGUUACCGAACAAGCGAGACAAUGGACAGAUAAUACGAGGCACGAAGAACGGGAAGAACAGAAGUGGAGAAAGAAGAGGAGGAGGAGGAGGAGAAGCGCAGAGUCUCUCCAGCAUCUCUUCUUAUAGAGAAUGGCCCGGGGCUGUCCAUCGGAUCGAACGUGUGAGAUAUGGCCGGCCACGAUUGUGUCGUGUCAACUUCUCAUAAAAAAACGACGAUUCACCCUGAAGAGAAAAUAUUCAAUCUUCAAACGCUCGAGUUGUGUCGAUCCGUUUUGCGUUCGAAUCGAAGAAUGAGAAAUACUUUUGUGAAGU
rnacentral:misc_RNA from 1 species